UAGUUUUCAGAACUAGGAGGGAUUUUGUGGUCACCUGGUCCCAUUCCUUCAUUUUACAGAUAAACAAAAAACCAGAGAAAGGAGUGAUCCAAUACAUCCAGAGCUGGAAGAUUACUCAGUGCAACUUUCUAGUCUUGGGAGGGAAGGUGUGGAAGUGGCAGGAGUCAGGAGGCUCAUGACCAGUAUCUGCUGCCUCUGAAGGCCAAGCCUGUAGGAUUUGCAGCCAAAAGGACUCUGAAGACCACCUGGCCCAGUGUCUCCAUUUUACAGAGGAGAAAACUGAGGUAUGAGGGAGUGAAGUGAGCUCCCCAUAGUGAUAAAGAUAAAGCCAUACAGGUAAGGAGCAGAUCUGGAACUU
rnacentral:lncRNA from 1 species